CUCCUACGGGAGGCAGCAGUGGGGAAUUUUGGACAAUGGGGGCAACCCUGAUCCAGCCAUGCCGCGUGAGUGAAGAAGGCCUUCGGGUUGUAAAGCUCCUUUGGCCGGAAAGUAUAAGAUUUCGUCUAAUAAACGGAGUUCUUGACGGUACCGGCAGAAUAAGCACCGGCUAACUACGUGCCAGCAGCCGCGGUAAUACGUAGGGUGCGAGCGUUAAUCGGAAAUACUGGGCGUAAAAGAGUGCGUAGGCGGGUCUUUGUGUCCCGUGUGAAAGCCCCGGGCUUAACCUGGGAAUGG
rnacentral:rRNA from 1 species